UAUCAUUUGAUAAAAUAAAAGUGAAAUGUAGUGAAUAUGAUGGCCAUACAGAUAUUAAAACAAAAAAUACGUUAAUAGAAUUUUCAGAGAUAGAAGCAGAAAUUCAUAAUGUUGAGAUAAAUUUUGAGAACUUAGUAGAAUUAAAUAAAGGGAUUUUUAAACAUAAUACAAAAUUGCAUAUGGUACAACAUAAAUCUAAUUCCCCAAUAGAAGAUAGAUGUUUUGUUGAUUUAAUUGAUUUAAAUGAUUCUAAUCUGAAACCUUUAAUGAGCUGCCAAAUGGUAGCAAGAUAUGAGGAUAAAGAUUUUGUUAGAUCAUUUGAACAUAAUAUAAUGUUAAAUUUAUAUAGUGAUUAUGAAAGUGAUAGUGAAUAUGAUAAUAGUUCUAAUUAUAAUAAUAGAAAUAUGAAUAGAAAUAGGCAUAUGUAUGAUAAUACCGCUAGUAAUACUGUUAGUAAUACCGUUAGUAAUACUGCUAGUAAUACCGUUAGUAAUACCGUUAGUUAUGUUAAUAAUAAACCAUCUGGUGUGGAUAAAACCUUGGAUGCAAAAAAAGAAAGGAAACAAGAUAUGGCUGUAUUAACUCCAAAUGACAAUGUAAAAAUGAGUGAUAUUCUAACAGUUGGGUGGACACUAAAUGAUGAAAAAAAUAUAAAUGAAUUUAAUAACAGUGACACAGAAAAAGGAGCAGUUGGAGGCGUUACAUAUGCUACUGAAAAAAGUGAAAAAAUAAAAAAUAAUAAUGGACACACAUUGGAUGACGAUGAUGAUGAUUCAAAAGAAAAAAAACAAGAAUCAUUAAUCACUAAAAUUAUAAAUUUUUUUACGUAUAAGGACAAAAUAGAUGAUCAAAUAAUCCCUUCUACGGAAGAUGUUAUAAAAUACAAACCACUUUUACUCCUUGCAGUUAUAGAUGGUCAUGGAGGUGAAGUAGUAGCAGACUUAAUAAAAAGAUGGUUAAGCUUUUACGUUAAAAAAAAAUUAUUAAAAAAAAUAAAAUCUAAAAAUGGUGAAAAAUUAGAAAAAGAAGACAUAAUAAAUAGUUUAAGAUAUGCAUAUUUAUCAUUAGAAAAAUCUAUUCACAGACAUGCAAAAACAAAUCUUACUUUGGGUUUUUUAAAAUAUGGUACUAUAGGUGCAUGCUCAAUUAGUGUGUUAAUUGAUGAUGAAAAUUAUUAUGUAGCAAAUUUAGGAGAUUCUAAAGUAAUUUUAGUUAGAAAUAACAAUUAUGUGUUAUUAAAUAAUAUACACAAUGCAAGUAUAUUAAGUGAACAACUUAAAUUAAUAAAUGAUCAUCCUGAUGAUGAAGACAUUCUAGUAUGCAAAAGUCGAGUUCAAAAUGUUUCAAUCCUUAAGGAAAACAAUGAUUUUAUCCAAAUAAAUAAAAGUAAUAUAAACACUAAUCCAAAAUACAAAAAACCUUGUUAUGUUAAAGGUAAAUUACAGUGUACCAAAGCUUUUGGAGAUUUUUAUUUAAAAGAUGAAAAGUUUGCUUAUGAUAAAUAUAGAAGAGAAUAUCUUGUAGACAAACCACAUUCAUUUCCUUAUAUAUCUGCAGAUCCUGAAAUAGCAGUACUACAAAAAACUGAGGAUGAUGAAUAUCUGAUUAUGGUAUCUGACGGAAUAACAGACUUUUUAACUGACCUUGAUAUUAUUUCCAUUGUUAAAAUGCAUAACUAUUCGAUUGAAAUAGCUUCAAAAAGAGUUAUUCAAUAUACUUUGUUUAAAGCUGCAUUAAAACGGAAUAUGGACUAUAAAAGUUUACUCAAUUUAUCUUCUAACCGUAAAAGAAAAUACUUUGAUGACAUGACAGUCAUUUUGUAUGAUUUGCGACCGCAAGUGGAGACAGAAGAUGCAGGUGAAACAUAAUAAAAAAA
ensembl:lncRNA